CGGGAAAAGCUCAAAUUUAAAAUCUAGCAGUUUUUGACUGUUUGAGUUGUAAUCUAGAGAAGUGCUUUCUGUGCUGGACCGUGUAUAAGUCUCUUGGAAUAGAGCGUCGUAGAGGGUGAGAAUCCCGUCUUUGACAUGGAUAACCAGUGCUAUGUGAUGCACUUUCAAA
rnacentral:rRNA from 1 species